rnacentral:lncRNA from 1 species
GUUGCAGCACGGGACUAAGCAAUAUAUGAGGUAGCUAACUUACGAGCACAAGAAUAAAGAGGGGGAAGAUCUACGCAUAAUGGACAUGAACUACUGAUGAUCAAAUGAAUGAACCUGAACACCUAAUUACGUCGGACAUAACCCCACCGCGUCCUUGAUCGGAGAAGGACUCACGAAAGAGACAGUCACGGUUACACACUCAGUUGGCAUAUUUUAAUUGAGUUAACUUCAAGUUAUCUAGAACAA